AUCAGAGCCGCCGGCCAUCGAACCCCACAACUCUCUCCCUCUUUCUGUCUCUCUCAACAGCUAGUAGUCCAAUAAUCUCUGGUUGAUUGCGGGUUGUCGGAAGGAGGAUUUAGAAUCGAAAGGAUUGUGUAAAAGAGAGCAAGGGAAACAAAAUUGGGCAGGAGCAGCUAGGGUUUUCAGAGAAAGGCGGCGAACACGAUGACCGUCGCAAUCGAAGAUGUAGUCUAAAUGGCGACUUACAGCACCUGUCUCAAUUUUG
rnacentral:misc_RNA from 1 species